rnacentral:lncRNA from 1 species
ACAAGGAGAGUAACAUAUAUUAUUUGAAAAUUACAUAAAAAUUAUAAUAAAUUACAAUAGUUAACAACUACAAAUAUAUUAAAAAUAUGAUUGAUUAUCUAAAUUAUAUUUAUGCUAUAUAAAUUGAGAUAAAAAAUAAUUUAUAUUGGGCUUGUGCUAGCACGGGCCUCGGUAUCUAGUAUAUAUAUAUAUAAACUAGUUAGGCCUAACAGUAUAUUGUGAUAACUAUCCCAUAAUUUACAAAGAUGCAUCUUACUAAAUUUUCAAACUUUAACUAAUAUAGAUAUGCUUAUUGUCAUGGUGUUCUUGUGUUCAUAUCUCUCAAAUGGAAAUAAAAGUUUAGUGCAUUAACUACGUGGGCGCAUUUAAUAUAACAACCACUUACUGUCCAUCAAAAAGAAUUUUGUUGUCACACUUCACCGUUUUAAGUAAAUUUCUUCUUUUUUGUUCUUUCGUUUUAAUACAUGUUAUGUUAUAAAUGGGUUAUAUGUAAUGUCAAAUUUGAAACUUCUCCGAAAUCUCCACUUAGCCCACGUUCUUUUACGGUUUUAUUUUGAGAAAAGACAUUUUCCCUUUAGCACUUAACCUUGACUUUUAUUUAUUUAUCCUCUUUAACAUCUUUAAAGUAUAUUAUUUUCACCCCUAAAGACUUUUUUUUUAUUUUUUAAAAAGGACAUUUUUUAAUUUAAAAACUGAUAUGUCCCCACUUUUUUAUAUAUACAUAUAAUAUCGUAGAUUAUAUAGUUAGUAUAAUACUAUAGACAGAUAAAUAUAACAAACAAAUUAUAUAUAACAAGCAAUUAAAGCAGGUAAGUAAUUUUAAAACAGAGUUAUCGCGAUUUAUAAUAGACAAAUAAAUAAAUAAUAAUAAAAAUAGAUAGGUAAUAUAGACAGAUAAUAAUAACAAUAUAAUAGUAAUAGAGAAUAUAAUAAACAGAUAAAUAACAAUUAUAAUUGACAGGACGGAUAGAUAGAUAUAUCACUAAUAUAUAAACAAAGUUAAUAAUAAAUAGUAAUUAGUAUUUAUAUAUAUAAACAAUAUAUAUAUGUUAAUAAGUAUAAGUAUAUAUACAUAUAUUAGUAAGUGUAUAUAUAAGCAGUAAAUAUAUGUAUACAUAUUAUACUAUUUAAAUAUUAGGUAAUAAUAUAUAUAAUAUUAACAAAAAUAUAUAUAUAUUUUAUAAUCUUAUACAUAAACAACUUAUACUACUACUAGUAAUAAUAAUAAUAAUAAGCAAAAAUAUAUAUUACUUAUAUAUGUAUAUCAAUUAGUAUAUGUAUUAUAAUAUAUAUUUGUAGAUUAUAUAGAUAUAAUAUAUCGUAGAUUAUAUAGUUAGUAUAAUACUAUAGACAGAUAAAUAUAGAAAGCAAAUUAAGUAUAACAAGUUACUAAAGUAGGUAAGUAAUUUUAAGACAGUAAAACAAAAUUAUCGAGGUUGUGUUUUAAUAUAAUUAAAGCAGGUAAGUAAUUUUAAAACAGAGUUAUCGCGGUUGUAUUUUAAUAUGGUGUAAAGUUCUACUCAGUACUCCCUCCUUCGUUAUUCUUAGUCCAGUGUAAGUGUCCAAGUCAUAAAGAUCCAAGUAUAUUUUCUCCUAAAAUAAUUUUUUUAUUUUUAAUUUAUACUUUGUUUAUCUCUUUCUCUUCAGUUUUAGGUAUUUUAGUAAUAUCUUUUUUAAUCACACCCCGGGAGAAUAACAACAAUCCUUUUUUAAUCUUCUUCAGACUUUUUGAGUCCCUAGAAAUUUAAAGAUUAAUCCAUCGUUAUUGCUAAAACACUGAGAGAAUAACCAUAUACUGAGGGUAUAUUUAUAAAUAAUUUACUAGAUCAGAAAACUGAUGGUGAACCACCGGCGAUCCAGAUCUUAACAAUAAUAAAACUCAUGUGAAUGAAAAUAUAAACUUGAUUAAUUCAAACAUAAUUUACAAACUUGGGAGAAAAAUACAAAGAUCUAUGUAACUACUACUUAUAUGCCUUAAGUAAGGAGUGAGGUUUCCCUUUCAGGAGUCCUCUGAAAGUUGACAGCUAUCGAAAAUGAAGAACUAAGAAAACUUUUACCACUUUUCACACACUUUUUUUUUAAAUAACUUACAAACUUUAGAAACUAAGAAACUUAAAGAACUUAAGAAAAUCAAAGAACUUUCUCACUCUUGAUUUUUUCUUGUUUUUUUCUCUCUUUGAUACAUGUUUAAGUUUUCCAUAAAAGGGGGUAUUUAUAGGCAUCCUUGGACUUCAAAUAUUAACUUUUUUGUGGACUUCAAAUUCUUUCUAAAAACUUUAGCAAGACUUUAUCAACUUGGAUGGGCCCGACAGCUAAUGUUUUUCUUUAAUUCUCCUCCGUCCAUUUAUUUAUCUAAUAUUGCAUACGUCUGUUAUUUUAUCUUUUGUAAACAUUGUCAUUGCUUACGUAUCCAAAUUGUGUAAAGCUUCUGAUUCAAAAUCCAUUCCUGAAUCAUCUUCUGCGUUUGGGUCUUGGGCAAAUUGAUCCAUGGCUGAGUUGUAUUCUCGUUCAUAUUCGUCACUGUCUCCGCCUGAUAAUCCCAGUCUUGUUUCAGUUCUAGGUGAUCUUAUUUCUUCUCUUGGAAUUAAAGAAAUUCUGGGUCUUUGCUUUAGUGGUUCUGGAUUCAUUGCUAUCUCCUUAGGCAAUUGUUUUGCUAAUAACUUUUUUAUUAUGUCUACUACUAUUUUUUCUAUAUUUUUUUUUUAUUUUUAUUUUUCCUUAAUGAAAAACCCUUCUUAUUCUGAGAAGAACUUCCUUCAUCUGUUGUCUGAGUACCUAUGGUUUUAAAACUAGUUGGGAGUAUUCUCUCUACACUUUUUGGCAAAGUGUCAGCCGUCAACGAAUUUGAUAAGUCUUUACCAGCUACCAUUUGAGUUGGACUAGCUGUAUCAUUACCCGAUACAGUAGGUCUUUCUGUAUUCAUUGGAAAACGCACACCCAUUAACGGAUUUGAGAAGUCUUUACCAGUUAUCGUUUGAGCUGUAUUAGUUGUAUCAUUACCCAAUACAGUGAGUUUUUCCAUUUUUAAGAAGAUGGAGAACUCUUUGGCUGGGUCUCAUAAAUUGGUUGAGUCUGUUGUGAAAGUUCAAAAUGAAGGAUUUUUAUACGGUCUUAUAAAAUACUUAUAUGUUCUAACAUUUGUCCUUUUUCUUUUACAAGGUUUUCAUUAUCUUGUUUUAAAACUUCAUUGGCUUGAUUUAGUCUUUUAAAAGUUUCGAUCAUUGAGUAACAAUGAUCACAAAAUAUAAUUUUGUCUGUGUCUUUAUUUAUAUUAUAUUGAGGAAUUUUUUAUUUUUUCUGGUCUUAAAGGUGGAGUAAUAAAAUAAUUUGAUCUCAGAUUUCUUCGGACAUAGUCUAGAGUCUCUGAGAGGUCAUAAAAACCUUUAUAAAGAGGUGUUUUAUAAUCUUUUAUGACAUCUAUUACCUCUAUCCAAGUCUGGAACACGCCUUGCUGCUGUCCUCUGAGAACAACAUAGAAUUUAAACUUGUUAGUAGUAUUUUUCUCAGUAAAAUAGUAACUUAAUGCAUUUAGAACUGAAAUAAAAUAACUAUUGUCUCUUCUAUUAUAUGCUAUCCAUAAAUUAAGUAGACAUAUCUACGGCUUAUCCACUUGUACUUCCAGCUUUUGUCUGAAAGUUAAGUUGGAUGGUUCAUAACUUAUCAGGUUGUGAGGUCCAAAAAUUAUUCUAUCUAAGUUUGACUGUUCUAGCAUCGUAAGUGGUCUGAAAUGAGUGUUGCUCAUUAGUGUCUUUAGAUAGUCUUGGGAUGAUGAGGCUUCUGCCUUGUCUUUUCCUUUUCCUGUAUUCAUACUGAAACAAAAAUCGCGAGUUAUCUUCUUUCAUUAAUCUACUUAGUUGAUCUGCUAUAUUUUUCUUUAGUAUAUUCUAAAACAAUAUUAUAGAUUGAAGUAGCAUCUAGGAAAUUUAACCAUCUCCUUUUACUACUAUUCUUAUCUUUUAUUUUCUGAUAAAACUUUACUAUAGUUUCGCAGUCUGUUCUUACUAGUAUUUCAAGCUUAUUUAAUAUAUAAAGUUUAAAACUAUUCAAACCUUAAAUUACUGCUAGUGUCUCUGCAUCUAUACUAUUUAACUUUCCCUUUUCUUUAUAUUUUUCACUUAAAUAAGCACAAAUUUUUUCAUCAUUUUUAUCACUGUAUUUAUUGAGUUUUGCCUUUAAUAUUGCUCCUCAUCCUUGAAGGCUUCUGUCUGUCUCAACUAUUAAAUAAUGUGUUUCUAAUGGUAAUGUUAAAUUUGGGAUGUCUUGUUUUGCUUGAUUGUCUAGGUUUUGUCUAAAUACUCUAUAUCUUGGUAAAUUUUCUGUUGUUAAUGGUACGUUUUGUAUACCGAUUGUUCUCUGGAAAGGGCUUGCAGUGCUUGCUGCACUUUCCAUAAAUUCUUUUAUACUUUCGUCUGUACUAUAAAUUGAUUCUGAGUCUUCACCUUUUAGUUCCUUUUUACAUGUAUAACAAUAAUUAUAUGUUCUUAAUUCACAUUUUAUAAAAUGUUCUUUCAUUUCCUCAAGGUCUAAGUUUCCUAAUUUAUAGCCUGUGCAUUUAAAUACGCUAUUGCUAUUUAUUUCAUAUAUGACUUCUUCUUUUAUUAUAGCUUUAUUUAUUUCAAAACCUUCUUCUAAUAUUUCUAUAUUCAUAAAAUUAGUAUUCUCACAUUCUUCAAUUUCUUCAUCAGUCUCUUUUUCAUUUGUAUAUUGGUAGUUGUGAAUCUUACUGAAGCUUGUCCUUUAUUGUUUAUAUACAUUAAAUGAUCGGUUGACUUU